rnacentral:rRNA from 1 species
AUGGCGUCCGGCGGCAGAGGCGGCUCGUGUCCGACGAGCCUGAGCACGCCGGAGACCGACGAGCUCAUCCGUCUCGGGAUGAUGGUGCUGCCGGGCUGCCGUCUGCCGCACGUCUUUCGCAUCACCGCCGACGGGUACCCGACGAGGGGGCCCGACGCGUCGCUGGAUGAGCUCCGCCGGCACGAGGGCGGCCGGUGGAACAUCGUCGGCCGCGCUAGGUUCACGGACCGGCGGCUCAUCGUCUGGCCCGGGCGGCUCGUCGUCUGCCCCGCGCGGCUCGUCUUCCGCCCCGCGCCGGCCCCGCCGUCCCCUCCGGUGGCCGCUUCGUCUCCAAGCUCGUCCCGCCGUCCGGUUCCCGCCCUCGCCCGGCCCACCUCCCCUCCCGUCAUCGAGAUCCCGCCGGAGCAGUUUGCACUGCGUGAGGACGGCGACCCCGACGACUGCCCCGGCUACCUCAUCGCACUGCGGGAGUCACAGGCAGAAGCGGCGGCCGCGGAGGCGAGAGAGGCCGCCGAGCUGCAGGCCGCACUCGACGCCGCGACGGCUAUGGCGGCGGCAGCAGAGGCCGCCGAGCUGCAGGCCGCACUGGAUGCGGCGGCGGCCAUCGAAGCGGUGCAGCCGCAGGUGGCUCCGGAGGAGGGCGACGGCGGAGGCAGCUACUGGGACGACGGCGACGGUGACGAUGACGACGACGGUGACGUCGGUGCGGGGGAGAUCGUCGACCUCGCCGCCUCCGACAACGACGAGUAG